rnacentral:rRNA from 1 species
UGAAUACGAAAUGCUACGGCAUUGAAGUGAUCUAUGCCAGGCUUCCAAGAAAAUCUCGUCAUAUCUUAAGCAGUAGAUGCCUGUACCUUAAACCGACACAGGUAGGUAGGUAGAGUAUACCAAGGGGCGCGAGAUAACUCUCUCUAAGGAACUCGGCAAAAUAACCUCGUAACUUCGGAAGAAGAGGUACCCUUGAAAAAGGGUUGCAAUAACCAGACCCUGGCGACUGUUUACCAAAAACACAGGUCUCCGCUAAUUCGUGAGAUCAAGUAUGGAGGCUGACGCCUGCCCAGUGCCGGAAGGUUAAAGAAGUUGGUCAAUCUUUGGAUGAAGCUGGCGACUGAAGCCCCGGUGAACGGCGGCCGUAACCAUAACGGUCCUAAGGUAGCGAAGUUCCUUGUCGGGUAAGUUCCGACCCGCACGAAAGGCGUAACGAUCAGGGUGCUGUCUCGGAGAGAGACUCGGCGAAAUAGACAUGUCUGUGAAGAUGCGGACUACCUGCACCUGGACAGAAAGACCCUAUGAAGCUUUACUGUAUCUUGGAAUUGGGUUUGGGCCUUGCUUGCGCAGGAUAGGUGGGAGGCUGUGAAGAUAUUCUUGCGGGAAUGUUGGAGCCAACGGUGAGAUACCACUCUAGUAAGGCUAAAAUUCUAACUCUGAACCGUUAUCCGGUCAGAGAACAGUUUCAGGUGGGCAGUUUGACUGGGGCGGUCGCCCCCUAAAAGGUAACGGAGGCGCGCAAAGGUUCCCUCAGGCUGGUUGGACAUCAGUCGUAGAGUGUAAAGGCAUAAGGGAGCUUGACUGCGAGACCCACAAGUCGAGCAGAGACGAAAGUCGGCCUUAGUGAUCCGACGGUUCCACGUGGAAGGGCCGUCGCUCAACGGGUAAAAGUUACUCUAAGGAUAACAGGCUGAUCUCCCCCAAGAGUUCACAUCGACGGGGAGGUUUGGCACCUGGAUGUCGGCUCAUCGCAUCCUGGGGCGGUAGUACGUCCCAAGGGUUGGGCUGUUCGCCCAUGAAAGCGGUACGCGAGCUGGGUUCAGAACGUCGUGAGACAGUUCGGUCCAUAUCCGGUGCAGGCGUUAGAGCAUUGAGAGGAGUCCCCCUUAGUACGAGAGGACCGGGGGGAAUACACCGCUGGUGUACCAGUUAUCGUGCCAACGGUAAACGCUGGGUAGCCAUGUGUAGCGCGGAUAACUGCUGAAAGCAUCUAAGUAGGAAGCCCACCUUAAGAUGAGUGCUCUCACCGCUAUAAGCGGGUAAGGUCACGGUAAGAACAACCGUUAUAUAGGCAUUAAGUAUACGUGCAGUAAUGCAUUUAGCUGAGAUGUACUAACAGACCGAGGGC